AUUGAACGCUGGCGGCAGGCCUAACACAUGCAAGUCGAGCGAACCUAGCUUGCUAGGUGAGCGGCGAACGGGUGAGUAACGCGUAGGAAUCUGCCUGGUAGUGGGGGACAACGUUGCGAAAGGAACGCUAAUACCGCAUACGCCCUACGGGGGAAAGCAGGGGAUCUUCGGACCUUGCGCGAUCAGAUGAGCCUGCGUCGGAUUAGGUAGUUGGUAGGGUAAAGGCCUACCAAGGCGACGAUCCGUAACUGGUCUGAGAGGAUGAUCAGUCACACCGGAACUGAGACACGGUCCGGACGCCUACGGGAGGCAGCAGUGGGGAAUAUUGGACAAUGGGGGCAACCCUGAUCCAGCCAUGCCGCGUGUGUGAAGAAGGCCUUCGGGUUGUAAAGCACUUUAGGUCGGGAGGAAGGUUCGCUGGCUAAUAUCCAGCGGAAUUGACGUGACCGACAGAAUAAGCACCGGCUAACUCCGUGCCAGCCGCCGCAGUAA
rnacentral:rRNA from 1 species